AGUGAACGCUGGCGGUAGGCCUAACACAUGCAAGUCGAACGGCAGCACAGUAAGAGCUUGCUCUUACGGGUGGCGAGUGGCGGACGGGUGAGGAAUACAUCGGAAUCUACUUUUUCGUGGGGGAUAACGUAGGGAAACUUACGCUAAUACCGCAUACGACCUACGGGUGAAAGCAGGGGAUCUUCGGACCUUGCGCGAUUGAAUGAGCCGAUGUCGGAUUAGCUAGUUGGCGGGGUAAAGGCCCACCAAGGCGACGAUCCAUAGCUGGUCUGAGAGGAUGAUCAGCCACACUGGAACUGAGACACGGUCCAGACUCCUACGGGAGGCAGCAGUGGGGAAUAUUGGACAAUGGGCGCAAGCCUGAUCCAGCCAUACCGCGUGGGUGAAGAAGGCCUUCGGGUUGUAAAGCCCUUUUGUUGGGAAAGAAAAGCAGCAGGUUAAUACCCCGCUGUCCUGACGGUACCCAAAGAAUAAGCACCGGCUAACUUCGUG
rnacentral:rRNA from 1 species